AUGUAUAAGUUUAAUCGUUUAUCGAGAAACCGCGAACGGCUCAUUACAAUGGCCAUUAUUUACUUGAUCUUGAUUGUCUAAAUGGAUAACUGUGGAAAAGCUAGAGCUAAUACAUGCACUAAAGCUUUGUCCUUACGGAAAAGCGCAUUUAUUAGAACAAAACCACGCGGCUUCGGCUGCUUCUUGUUGACUCAGAAUAACUUAGCUGACCGCAUGGCCUUGUGCCGGCGGCGUGUCUUUCAAGCGUCCACUUUAUCAACUUGACGGGAGCAUAAUCGACUCCCGUGGUGGUGACGGAUAACGGAGGAUCAGGGUUCGACUCCGGAGAAGGGGCCUGAGAAAUGGCCACUACGUCUAAGGAUGGCAGCAGGCGCGCAAAUUACCCACUCUCGGCUCGAGGAGGUAGUGACGAGAAAUAACGAGACUGUUCUCUUUGAGGCCGGUCAUCGGAAUGGGUACAAUUUAAACCCUUUAACGAGUAUCAAGCAGAGGGCAAGUCUGGUGCCAGCAGCCGCGGUAAUUCCAGCUCUGCAAAUACAUAGAAUUAUUGCUGCGGUUAGAAAGCUCAUAGUUGGAUUCGUAUCGAUACCUUGGAACCCUUCGGGUGUCUCUAGGUGUUAUCGAUUUAUCGUAAUGUUCGGUUUUGAGUCCUUAACAGGAUUCUUAACAGGCAUUGCAAGUUUACUUUGAACAAAUCAGAGUGCUUCAAACAGGCGUUUUCGCUUGAAUGAUCGUGCAUGGAAUAAUAGAAAAUGAUUUCGGUUCAGUUUUAUUGGUUUUACGGACUGAGAUAAUGGUUAACAGAGACAAACGGGGGCAUUUGUAUGGUCCCGUGAGAGGUGAAAUUCUUGGACCGUGGCCAGACAAACUACAGCGAAAGCAUUUGCCAAGAAUGUUUUUAUUAAUCAAGAACGAAAGUCAGAGGUUCGAAGGCGAUCAGAUACCGCCCUAGUUCUGACCGUAAACGAUGCCAACUAGCGAUCCGCCGAUGGAAAUUAUAUUGCCUUGGUGGGGAGCUUCCCGGAAACGAAAGUCUUCCGGUUCCGGGGGAAGUAUGGUUGCAAAGCUGAAACUUAAAGGAAUUGACGGAAGGGCACCACCAGAAGUGGAGCCUGCGGCUUAAUUUGACUCAACACGGGGAAACUCACCCGGCCCGGACACUGUGAGGAUUGACAGAUUGAUAGCUUUUUCAUGAUUCAGUGGAUGGUGGUGCAUGGCCGUUCUUAGUUCGUGGAGUGAUUUGUCUGGUUUAUUCCGAUAACGAGCGAGACUCUAACCUACUAAAUAGUUGGUACAUACUCUUAGUGUAUACAGCUUCUUAGAGGGAUUUGCGGCGUUCAGCCGAAAGAAAUUGAGCAAUAACAGGUCUGUGAUGCCCUUAGAUGUCCGGGGCUGCACGCGCGCUACACUGGUAAAAUCAACGUGCUUGUCCUACCCUGAAAGGGGCGGGUAAACCAUUGAAAAUUUGCCGUGAUUGGGAUCGGAAAUUGCAAUUAUUUUCCGUGAACGAGGAAUUCCAAGUAAGUGCGAGUCAUCAGCUCGCGUUGAUUACGUCCCUGCCCUUUGUACACACCGCCCGUCGCUGCCCGGGACUGAGCCAUUUCGAGAAAUUUGGGGACCGUUGAUUUAAUUUUUCUAAAUUACUUUGAUGGAAACCAAUUUAAUCGCAGUGGCUUGAACCGGGC
rnacentral:rRNA from 1 species